GAUGAACGCUGGCGGCGUGCUUAACACAUGCAAGUCGAACGGAAAGGCCCAAGCUUGCUUGGGUACUCGAGUGGCGAACGGGUGAGUAACACGUGGGUGAUCUGCCCUGCACUUCGGGAUAAGCCUGGGAAACUGGGUCUAAUACCGGAUAGGACGAUGGUUUGGAUGCCAUUGUGGAAAGUUUUUUCGGUGUGGGAUGAGCUCGCGGCCUAUCAGCUUGUUGGUGGGGUAAUGGCCUACCAAGGCGUCGACGGGUAGCCGGCCUGAGAGGGUGCACGGCCACAUUGGGACUGAGAUACGGCCCAGACUCCUACGGGAGGCAGCAGUGGGGAAUAUUGCACAAUGGGCGCAAGCCUGAUGCAGCGACGCCGCGUGGGGGAUGACGGCCUUCGGGUUGUAAACUCCUUUCGCUAGGGACGAAGCGUUUUUGUGACGGUACCUGGAGAAGAAGCACCGGCUAACUACGUG
rnacentral:rRNA from 1 species